AAAAAGGAUACCGGGAAACCGGUAGACCCCACCCGUGUCUAUCUACUCUUGUUGCUUUGGCAGGCCGUGGCCUCCACCGCGGGCUCUGCCUGCGUGUGCCUGCCAGAGGACCAAACUCUGAAUUUUAGUGAUGUCUGAGUACUAUAUAAUAGUUA
rnacentral:misc_RNA from 1 species